rnacentral:rRNA from 1 species
GACGAACGCUGGCGGCGUGCCUAAUACAUGCAAGUUGAGCGAUGAAGAUUGGUGCUUGCACCAAUUUGAAGAGCAGCGAACGGGUGAGUAACGCGUGGGGAAUCUGCCUUUGAGCGGGGGACAACAUUUGGAAACGAAUGCUAAUACCGCAUAACAACUUUAAACAUAAGUUUUAAGUUUGAAAGAUGCAAUUGCAUCACUCAAAGAUGAUCCCGCGUUGUAUUAGCUAGUUGGUGAGGUAAAGGCUCACCAAGGCGAUGAUACAUAGCCGACCUGAGCGGGUGAUCGGCCACAUUGGGACUGAGACACGGCCCAAACUCCUACGGGAGGCAGCAGUAGGGAAUCUUCGGCAAUGGACGAAAGUCUGACCGAGCAACGCCGCGUGAGUGAAGAAGGUUUUCGGAUCGUAAAACUCUGUUGGUAGAGAAGAACGUUGGUGAGAGUGGAAAGCUCAUCAAGUGACGGUAACUACCCAGAAAGGGACGGCUAACUACGUG